AUUGAACGCUGGCGGCAGGCUUAACACAUGCAAGUCGAGCGAGAGGCGGACGGGUGAGUAAUGUCUGGGAAACUGCCUGAUGGAGGGGGAUAACUACUGGAAACGGUAGCUAAUACCGCAUACCAUCAGAUGUGCCCAGAUGGGAUUAGCUAGUAGGUGGGGUAAUGGAUCACCUAGGCGACGAUCCCUAGCUGGUCUGAGAGGAUGACCAGCCACAGUGGAACUGAGCUAAGGUCCAGACUCCUAAGGGAGGAAGCAGUGGGGAAUAGUGCAAAAUGGGCGCAAGCCUGAUGCAGCCAUGACGCGUGUGUGAAGAAGGCCUUCGGGUUGUAAAGCACUUUCAGCGAGGAGGCGUUACUCGCAGAAGAAGCACCGGCUAACUCCGUGCCAGCAGCCGCGGUAAUUC
rnacentral:rRNA from 1 species